rnacentral:lncRNA from 1 species
CGAUGAGCAUGACUCAGGCCAUCCUAUUUAAGCACUCGCUUCUGUCGUUUGCCUUUUCUCUCCUCAACCGUAGGCACAUGCGGACCCAUCAUAGGACACGGACUACCGCUUACUUGAUUAUUCACCCUAUCUCCUGCCAAGAACGACAGAUUAAUGGAUAACGGCAAGUUCUUACCUCAGCUUUUAAAACUAUACAUCUGGAUACAACAGCUAAUAAGAAAGGAA